rfam:Schistosoma mansoni strain Puerto Rico chromosome 7, complete genome
AUCCAGCUGACGAGUCCCAAAUAGGACGGUACGCGCGUCCUGGAU